rfam:Lactobacillus shenzhenensis LY-73 genomic scaffold LY73.Scaffold1, whole genome shotgun sequence.
CCAUAACCCUGUUAGGUGAGGCUCCUGUACGAAAACAUGCUGCUGCUCAGAAACAUCGAGAGAUGCCAACGAGUCAACCGGAAUUGCUAAUAAGGCUUUUUCUAACGCAGCUGAACGUUGUUCUACGUCGUACAGUGCUAAAGCUCAACGUCGGGCCAUCGGA